rnacentral:rRNA from 1 species
UACGAAGGGGGGCUAGCGUUGUUCGGAAUCACUGGGCGUAAAGGGCGCGUAGGCGGCUUGGCAAGUGGAUGGUGAAAUCCCUCGGCUUAACCGAGGAACUGCCGUCCAAACUGCUUUGCUUGAGACCGGGAGAGGUGAGUGGAAUUCCCAGUGUAGCGGUGAAAUGCGUAGAUAUUGGGAGGAACACCAGUGGCGAAGGCGGCUCACUGGACCGGUACUGACGCUGAGGAGCGAAAGCCAGGGG